rnacentral:lncRNA from 1 species
GGCAAAUUGCUCAGAGCAGCCACUCAUGUUGGACAGUUCAGGUCUCUUCUGGAAACUGGCCUUGUAUUUGGAAUUUUCUCCAGAGUCUGAUGUGAGAGCUAAAGCCUUUCAGCAGGAAAUCCAGAUGCUCACUAAGUGACUAGAGCAGCUGCAUCAUCUUUAAGAAGAAGGUGCUCAAGAAUCAUCCCAAGCUGAAGAAAAAAGUAUUGGGAACAAAAAAGACCCUUGAAAUGUCUAGAAAGAAAAACUGAGAUCAAGGACUUUUUCAAGAGAGAUUAGACUUGGACAGGAAGAAAAAUUUGCAGAUUGCUACUAUGCAAAGAUUGGAGGAGAAAAUUCAGAAACUUCAGAAACAGCUCAGUGAUUUGAAAUUGUCAAAUAAAAAUAUGAAAACUCAGCUGACAAGAGUAAAUGUCCUUAAAGACAAAACAAUUGAAGAGCUCAGGCAAUCUUUAGCAAAUGUUGAAACGAUGAAAGAGAAGGCAAAUGUUGAAACGAUGAAAGAGAAGGCAGUUGUGAAAACAGAAAACUUGAAAACUACAUUAGACUCUGCAGAGCAAAAGGCAAGAUCAGACAAAGAGAAGACCCAGCAGAUGUUAGAUGCUGUCACUUCUGAGCCCCCAACAGCAAAGAGCACACCUGAAGAAGUAUCAGGACAAGAACAAGAGGUUUUUUCAAAAUAGUAAAAUUAAAAUUAAUU